CCUGGCUCAGGAUGAACGCUAGCGGCAGGCUUAACACAUGCAAGUCGAGGGGUAGAAGUCUUCGGACUUUGAGACCGGCGCACGGGUGCGUAACGCGUAUGCAAUCUGCCUUUCACAGAGGGAUAGCCCAGAGAAAUUUGGAUUAAUACCUCAUAGUAUUACGACUCGGCAUCGAGAUGUAAUUAAAGUCACAACGGUGAAAGAUGAGCAUGCGUCCCAUUAGCUAGUUGGUAAGGUAACGGCUUACCAAGGCUACGAUGGGUAGGGGUCCUGAGAGGGAGAUCCCCCACACUGGUACUGAGACACGGACCAGACUCCUACGGGAGGCAGCAGUGAGGAAUAUUGGUCAAUGGGCGCAAGCCUGAACCAGCCAUGCCGCGUGCAGGAUGACGGUCCUAUGGAUUGUAAACUGCUUUUGUACGAGAAGAAACACUGAUUCGUGAAUCAGCUUGACGGUAUCGUAAGAAUAAGGAUCGGCUAACUCCGUG
rnacentral:rRNA from 1 species